ensembl:lncRNA DNAJC27-AS1 DNAJC27 antisense RNA 1
GGGGCUGCUGACGUCAUCUGCAGGCCCUGGAGACGCGACUGCAGUUACCGAGUUUCUAAGGCCUCGUCCCCUGACGGGAAGGCGGCGUUGGGGGGCGGCUGGGUUUACCCUUCGAGAGUCCGUGUGAGAACCGGGACACCUGUCCUGUUGAAAAGGGGGACGCAAAAGCUGAAAAUGCCCGGAAGGAUAUGGCUUCCUUGAACUGCGGGACGUGUAGCUGCAGCUGUGGGGUGGACCAUGGAAACAGGAGUUAGAAAACACCAGGAAAAGGGUUGUUCCCACCUGGAAGAGAAAUGCUAGAGCAACACACCAUCUUCCUCAACAUUAUCAUCUGUCUCUGGAUGACAAUGAAAUUCACAGGACACUGAUUGUCUUUUUAUCCCAUUGGACAUCGUGAUAGUCUACAAUACUGAUAACACCAUGAUGAUAGGAUCUGAAGACCUGGAAGUACCAGAUCAGCAGGAAGAAGAGAUGGAAGCAACGCCAUGGACCUUCACGUCCUUCAGAGUGUGGGUGGGCUUGGGCUUUGCAGUGAGAGCAAGUAUCACCCAGGAUGGAGAUGGGAGGUAAUGGGUGGCCCCGACAGGUGCCUCCUACUGCUGGCAGCAAGGAGAGAGUGAAGAGGCAGAAUUUCCUUGGUCUAGACUAGAGUCUGGGUCAUGGGCAUGGCAGUGCUUGAGCUUUUGACCAGAAGCAAGUGGACAUGGAUUUGAGCUUCGGGUAAGAAGGGAGACUUCUCUCCAGGGACCAUAGGGGCUGGCAGCUGAAGAAGGUGACUUGGCCCCUCUCUAGAGGGUGAACGCAGGAUCAAUUCAAGGCCAUGAAGUGGAUGCAGCUGGGAGAGCCUGCUUGGUGCUUUUAAACCUCAACAUGUCAACCGCAAAUACCUCAAACACUGCUCACACCGUGGUAAAAUCUAGUUGCGAAACCUGUCCCGCGGCAGCCUUCUCCAUCCCAGGUGCCCAGGCCCCAUCUCCUGGGAGCAGGCAGCUCUCCCCACCCCGAUUCAUGUCCCUCCUACAGCCCAAGGCAACUCCCUGCCACCUUGGUGAAUGAAGCACAUCAUGCUGCCCAGGCUUCUGAGCUGUUUGCCGUGUUGCGGAGAUGCAGCCUUCAGCCUUGGAUACCCACCCACUCCUCUACUUGGGCAUUGUUUUCACAGGCUGCUCUUCCCUGUAGCUUCAGAGAAGUAGGUCAAGUAGGUUAACUCGCUUUAAGGGAGAAGUGCCAGGGGUUCAAGUCACCCAGCCUGGAGGCAGGAAUCCUGGGUUCUAUUUUUGGCUUCACAGCUAAUCCGCUGUGUGACAGUCGUUAGGAGCUCAUUCUCCCCUCUGGGUCUCCCUGAGCCCUUCUCUAGGUCCCACAAUUUUUUUUUUUUUCCCUGAAGCUAUAUUCCCUGGACUGUCAUAUUCUUCCCUCUUCCCUCCCUCUGGGAGGUGCUUUAAAGCCGUUGGCUGCUCAAGGCUGGCGCCCUAGGCAAGAGGGGCUGCAGUUGUUGUAGCUGAUGAGGAGGAGAUAAGAGGCUUUUCUGUAGACACAGUUGAGCUGAUGGGCUGUGUGAGGCUGGAGUGCCAGGAAACCAGACUCCUGUAACUACAGGACAGGCCCUGGUGAUGUGAUGAUGGGGAUGUGACGGGGAUGCUGAAGCCUGGAAUGCGAGUGGGGGUUCCUGCGUUUUAUGCAAUGGCUGUAGAUUUCCUCCCACUUCUAAGCCUCCCUUUCUGUGACACGCAGGGAAAUUCAGUCUCUAGUUCAUAUGGAAACUUGGGACCUCACUGUGCUGCUUGCUCUUGGCAGAGGAUAUCAUUUGAGCUGUCAUAGCAGAGGACCACAUUUACCAGGGUGCACUUUGGCCAAAGAAUAGUAACCUUUCUAAGGCUUAGUUCCUCUGGCCUGACCAAACCAGUCCCAGGAGGCCCCUGGGUUCCAGUCAAGGUCAUGGGAGAGGCCCACCAUGGAUGAGGCCUGGGGGAGCAGGGUGGAAAUUAAGUGCCCAGGUAUGUUAUGGAUAGCCUGCAGCCCUCUCCAAUCCCUACCCUCCAAACCCAGUGAAGGGGGACAUGAAACAGGUGAGGCAGAGGAGCAAAUGCGGGUCAAGAAUUCCGAACUAUACUUGACUUACAGUGCAGCUGUGAUGUGCACAUUGGUGUGUGCCACGAGACAGCAUAGUGUGGUGGAAAGAAAAUGGGUUUUGAACAGAGUGUCCUGGGUUUGAAUCUCUGCUUGCCCAUGUACUAGAGAGUAGUCGAACCUCUCUGGGCCUCAAUUUCCCAGAUGUAAAAUGGGAAUAGUAGUACUUACCUUGCACGGGUGCUGAGAGAAUUCCAUGAGACGACACAACCCGUGUAAAGUGCCUGGCAUAGGCAUAUCACAUUAGGGCACUCAGUAAAUGUGAUGUCUUUUCUACUUGC